rnacentral:rRNA from 1 species
CCUACGGGUGGCAGCAGUGAGGAAUAUUGGUCAAUGGACGAGAGUCUGAACCAGCCAAGUAGCGUGAAGGAUGACUGCCCUAUGGGUUGUAAACUUCUUUUAUAUGGGAAUAAAAUGUUCCACGUGUGGGAUUUUGUAUGUACCAUAUGAAUAAGGAUCGGCUAACUCCGUGCCAGCAGCCGCGGUAAUACGGAGGAUCCGAGCGUUAUCCGGAUUUAUUGGGUUUAAAGGGAGCGUAGGUGGAUUGUUAAGUCAGUUGUGAAAGUUUGCGGCUCAACCAUAAAAUUGCAGUUGAAACUGGCAGUCUUGAGUACAGUAGAGGUGGGCGGAAGUCGUGGUGUAGCGGUGAAAUGCUUAGAUAUCACGAAGAACUCCGAUUGCGAAGGCAGUUCACUGGACUGCAACUGACACUGAGGCUCGAAAGUGUGGGUAUCAAACAGGAUUAGAUACCCUUGUAGUC